rnacentral:rRNA from 1 species
AGAGUUUGAUCAUGGCUCAGAUUGAACGCUGGCGGCAGGCCUAACACAUGCAAGUCGAGCGGUAGAGAGAAGCUUGCUUCUCUUGAGAGCGGCGGACGGGUGAGUAAUGCCUAGGAAUCUGCCUGGUAGUGGGGGAUAACGUCCGGAAACGGACGCUAAUACCGCAUACGUCCUACGGGAGAAAGCAGGGGACCUUCGGGCCUUGCGCUAUCAGAUGAGCCUAGGUCGGAUUAGCUAGUUGGUGGGGUAAUGGCUCACCAAGGCGACGAUCCGUAACUGGUCUGAGAGGAUGAUCAGUCACACUGGAACUGAGACACGGUCCAGACUCCUACGGGAGGCAGCAGUGGGGAAUAUUGGACAAUGGGCGAAAGCCUGAUCCAGCCAUGCCGCGUGUGUGAAGAAGGUCUUCGGAUUGUAAAGCGCUUUAAGUUGGGAGGAAGGGCAGUAAAUUAAUACUUUGCUGUUUUGACGUUACCGACAGAAUAAGCACCGGCUAACUCUGUGCCAGCAGCCGCGGUAAUACAGAGGGUGCAAGCGUUAAUCGGAAUUACUGGGCGUAAAGCGCGCGUAGGUGGUUCGUUAAGUUGGAUGUGAAAUCCCCGGGCUCAACCUGGGAACUGCAUUCAAAACUGACGAGCUAGAGUAUGGUAGAGGGUGGUGGAAUUUCCUGUGUAGCGGUGAAAUGCGUAGAUAUAGGAAGGAACACCAGUGGCGAAGGCGACCACCUGGACUGAUACUGACACUGAGGUGCGAAAGCGUGGGGAGCAAACAGGAUUAGAUACCCCGGUAGUCCAA